rnacentral:rRNA from 1 species
UGAACGCUGGCGGCGUGCUUAACACAUGCAAGUCGAACGAGAACGGGUUAUAGUUUACUAUAACUGUCAGCUAAGUGGCGCACGGGUGAGUAAUAUAUAGGUAACGUGCCCUAGAGAAGAGGAUAACAUUUGGAAACGAAUGCUAAUACUCUAUAUGCCUUUAAGACUUAAGUCUGCAAGGGAAAUAUUUAUAGCUCUAGGAUCGGCCUGUACGGUAUCAGUUUGUUGGUGAGGUAAUGGCUCACCAAGACUAUGACACCUAACUGGUUUGAGAGGAUGAUCAGUCACACUGGAACUGAGACACGGUCCAGACUCCUACGGGAGGCAGCAGUGGGGAAUAUUGCACAAUGGAGGAAACUCUGAUGCAGCAACGCCGCGUGGAGGAUGACACAUUUCGGUGCGUAAACUCCUUUUAUAUAGGAAGAUAAUGACGGUACUAUAUGAAUAAGCACCGGCUAACUCC